rnacentral:rRNA from 1 species
GAUGAACGCUAGCGGCAGGCUUAAUACAUGCAAGUCGAGGGGUAGCAAGAUUGUAGCAAUACAAUUGUUGACGACCGGCAAACGGGUGCGGAACACGUACACAACCUUCCUACAAGUGGGGAAUAGCCCAGAGAAAUUUGGAUUAAUACCCCGUAACAUAGCGAUGUGGCAUCACAUUGCUAUUAUAGCUUCGGCGCUUGUUGAUGGGUGUGCGGCUGAUUAGAUAGUUGGCGGGGUAACGGCCCACCAAGUCUACGAUCAGUAGCUGAUGUGAGAGCAUGAUCAGCCACCCGGGCACUGAGACACGGGCCCGACUCCUACGGGAGGCAGCAGUAAGGAAUACUGGACAAUGGACGCAAGUCUGAUCCAGCCAUGCCGCGUGAAGGAUUAAGGUCCUCUGGAUUGUAAACUUCUUUUAUAAGGGACGAAAAAAGGUCUUUCUAGAUCGUCUGACGGUACCUUAUGAAUAAGCACCGGCUAACUCCGUGCCAGCAGCCGCCGUAAUAC